rnacentral:rRNA from 1 species
GACGAACGCUGGCGGCGUGCCUAAUACAUGCAAGUCGAGCGAGCUUGCCUAGAUGAAUUUGGUGCUUGCACCAGAUGAAACUAGAUACAAGCGAGCGGCGGACGGGUGAGUAACACGUGGGUAACCUGCCCAAGAGACUGGGAUAACACCUGGAAACAGAUGCUAAUACCGGAUAACAACACUAGACGCAUGUCUAGAGUUUAAAAGAUGGUUCUGCUAUCACUCUUGGAUGGACCUGCGGUGCAUUAGCUAGUUGGUAAGGUAACGGCUUACCAAGGCAAUGAUGCAUAGCCGAGUUGAGAGACUGAUCGGCCACAUUGGGACUGAGACACGGCCCAAACUCCUACGGGAGGCAGCAGUAGGGAAUCUUCCACAAUGGACGCAAGUCUGAUGGAGCAACGCCGCGUGAGUGAAGAAGGGUUUCGGCUCGUAAAGCUCUGUUGGUAGUGAAGAAAGAUAGAGGUAGUAACUGGCCUUUAUUUGACGGUAAUUACUUAGAAAGUCACGGCUAACUACGUGCCAGCAGCCGCGGUAAUACGUAGGUGGCAAGCGUUGUCCGGAUUUAUUGGGCGUAAAGCGAGUGCAGGCGGUUCAAUAAGUCUGAUGUGAAAGCCUUCGGCUCAACCGGAGAAUUGCAUCAGAAACUGUUGAACUUGAGUGCAGAAGAGGAGAGUGGAACUCCAUGUGUAGCGGUGGAAUGCGUAGAUAUAUGGAAGAACACCAGUGGCGAAGGCGGCUCUCUGGUCUGCAACUGACGCUGAGGCUCNAAAGCAUGGGUAGCGAACAGG